UGCUGAACUGUCAAUGAUGCAUUCUAUAAUUAUUGUUAUCUGAUAUCACAUGAUGUUAACAAUAUUUCGUCACUACCUCUGAGACAGUUCUGCU